UCCAAUUUUAUGCAAGGCUGUAAACUUUGGGGAGGUCACGCAGAUACAGAUACGCGGGUGACACACCACACUUGAUGAUAACAUGGCGGAUUU